UACGUAGGGGGCAAGCGUUGUCCGGAAUCAUUGGGCGUAAAGAGCGCGUAGGCGGCCCGAUAAGUCCGCUGUGAAAGUCAAGGGCUUAACCCUUGAAUGCCGGUGGAAACUGUCGGGCUAGAGUCCGGAAGAGGCGGAGUGGAAUUCCUGGUGUAGCGGUGAAAUGCGCAGAUAUCAGGAGGAACACCGAUGGCGAAGGCAGCUCGCUGGGACGGUACUGACGCUGAGGCGCGAAAGCGUGGGGAGCAAACAGG
rnacentral:rRNA from 1 species